rnacentral:misc_RNA from 1 species
GCUAUCAGAUGCGAUAACGGCGAGUGUAUAUGCACCUGUUAUCACCAGCGCUACAAGAUGUAGGCGGACGCUACACGACGCUACGCGGCAAGUUGCGCUGGAAUCAUAUAUUGGAGUCUAGCGUGGCGUAUAACCGCGACAAUCGCGACGCUCGCUCCUGGAAAGUUUGUGAAUUGAGGAACUAGUGUGUGAGAGAGAGAGAGAGAGAGAGAGAGAGAGAGACUCGUGUAUUAGCCGAGCGACUUGAUGCAUAAAAUGUGGAGCCGUUGGCUGUGGCUGUCAACGACCGGUUGAGAGUUAGGUUAUCUCGCCGUGUGUGACGUUGAGGGAAUCAUGAAUGUCGCUCGUCGUCCUGCCUCGACACCUGUUAACGCCUGAAUCCUCCUCUCACUCCCGUGCACUUAUAUUUCGACCGAUGCAGGAACAAUAUGUGCGAGGCGCGCGCAGGGUCAGCUUCUACGUAUUUUCUGUGUUUUUAUGAUUUAAUGCGCCGUCAAGCUGAUAAUUGAGCAGACACGUAUUUUAUGUUGCGCACGUUGUGAAGCAACACUAUUAGAACAGAUCAAUCCAGAAUCGUUGCAUCGACCGAAAUGUUCGUUUGGUAACCGCUGUACAAUGGUGACUUUGUGUAGUGGAAAGGGGAAAGAUGUAUUGAACCAAUGCGUAAAUACAAUGCCAUAAGUAAGAGAGAUUCAGAAGUACAGGAUGAGUUGUUCUGUAGAAUUACGCCAGCGUAGGCAACAGGGGAUUGUGGAGGAUCCUCAUAGGCUAGCGGCGAUGAUGAAUAAAUCUCAAAGACUCAUAUUGGGUCUUUUAGUGCUGUUGUUAGUCGACAUAAUUUGGGUCUCCAGUUCUGAACUUACCAAAUAUAUUUACAGAGAGGCGGCAUUUGAAAAGCCAUUUUUUAGUACAUACGUAAGAACAUCUAUGUUUACACUUUAUUUGCUUGGCCUGUGCUUCUGGCCACCUUGGCGGGAACAAUGUAAUAAACCAGCCACAUACAUGUUUAUAGAUCCCAAUGUUGAGGAUGACAACUUCUAUUCGGAAGCUAAUACCAGUUUAAGCGAUCCAACGUUCGUUCCGAUAAAAACUCCGGAUCAUUGCGACCGUUCAUCGGGUACGGAAAGUGACGAUUCGUCUAUACGCUCUGUAAGAUUUAGUAAACUAGCGGAAGUGCGCCAUAUGUCGGAGAGUGACGCUACAGAGGCUCUAUUGGCGCGACUUAGUUACCAAGCUAGCGUCAGAGCCGGGGAACACGCGAGGCGGCAGGCAAACAAAUUCUCUGUACAAAAAGUGGCCAAAAUAGCUCUUAUGUUUUGUCUAUUUUGGUUCAUGGCAAAUUACACGUACCAAAUAUCGUUAGAGCAAACCGAAGCCAGAAUCGUCACUAUAUUAUCCUCGACGUCUAGUUUAUUCACUUUAUUUCUCGCGGCCUUCUUCCCCAGUAACGGAGGAGACAAGUUCACACUGUCCAAAUUGGCUGCUGUAGUCAUCAGCAUCUCUGGACUGGUAUUAGUCGGUCUUUCGGAUUUAAAUGUAAAAAGCAACAGCAUGUCAACGGGCAUAAUAUUAGCUCUAGUCAGUGCUUUUUUCUACGCCGCGUAUAUUGUAUUUUUGAAGAGGAAAGUAGAUCACGAGGACAAAAUGGAUAUACCAAUGUUCUUCGGCUUCGUGGGGAUAUUUAAUUUAACGCUUUUGUGGCCUUUAUUUUUUAUUCUACAUUACGGUCAUUGGGAAGAAUUCGAGUGGCCCAAUAGCCAUCAGUGGACGUUUCUAAUUAUAAACGGCCUGAUCGGUACGGUCCUAGGCGAAGUCCUUUGGCUAUGGGGUUGUUUUCUAACGUCGUCUCUCGUAGCAACAUUAGCCGGAGCAUUCCAAUGCUUUUAGCAUUUCUGACAGUAUCUCUCUUAUCUUACUACGAUAAUUGGGAUCCUGUUAUGGAUCUGAUGAAACGAUUUUAUAUUUGGAUUUGCAGAAGAAACAACAGAUCAACAAGGAUUCCGGAUCUCGAGGCAGAACAGACGGAAUCUUUGAUAGGGAUAGACAGUGGUGAUCAUGAAGCUUAGCGAGACAAUAAUGAGAGAAUCAAGAACACGGUAAAAAACAUCUCGUAUUGUAUAUAUAUAUAUAUAUAUAUAUAUAUGUACUAAAUAUAACAAUACACACACACAC